GCCGGGCGUGGUGGUGGGCGCCUGUAAUCCCAGCUACUUAGGAGGCUGAGUCAGGAGAAUCACUUGAACCUGGGAGGCAGGAGUUGCAGUGAGCCGAGAUUGUACCACUGCACUCCAGCCUGGGUGAUAGAGUGAGACUCUGUCUCAA
ensembl:misc_RNA Metazoa_SRP Metazoan signal recognition particle RNA